rnacentral:rRNA from 1 species
GGGAAAUUUUCCGCAAUGGGCGAAAGCCUGACGGAGCAAGACCGCGUGGGGGAGGAAGGUUCUUGGAUUGUCAACCCCUUUUCUCAGGGAAGAACACAAUGACGGUACCUGAGGAAAAAGCAUCGGCUAACUCCGUGCCAGCAGCCGCGGUAAUACGGGGGAUGCAAGCGUUAUCCGGAAUGAUUGGGCGUAAAGAGUCCGUAGGUAGUCAUCCAAGUCUGCUGUUAAAGAGCGAGGCUUAACCUCGUAAAGGCAGUGGAAACUGGAAGACUAGAGUGUAGUAGGGGCAGAGGGAAUUCCUGGUGUAGCGGUGAAAUGCGUAGAGAUCAGGAAGAAC